GAUCCGGUGGUUUCCGUCUACCAGGUAUGUUUCGAUUAGGGUUUAAUCAUUUCUGGGUCUUUUGUCCUCAGGUGAAAUUGAAGUGCUGAUCUUGUACAAUACUAAGGAGAUUUGCAGAGUUCGGGGCUUUUGCUCGAAAAAUCCAUCCAUUUCUUGCCUUUCAUAUGUGCCAGAGAACCAAGCUAGUGUAUUCUCUUUCAGGUUUUCUCUCGUGGGAAGGGCGUUUUGACAGAGAGCCCAAAGGAAAGUUUUGAUUUUUGGUGGCACAUCUAGGCUCUAGAUCUUGGUCCAUAAGGUACGUGGUGGUUGGAACGAAUAGGAGGCCCUAUUAUGGUUUUGGCUUGUAGUUUCUGAAUAUGCUCUGUUGUAGCCACUCUUUACAGAAUAUUUCCUUGUAUUAUUACCUGUCCAAACUAGGUAAUCUGAUUGCGGUUGUGGGCUCAAUGGGAUAGCUAAAAUUUCAUUUAUGAUACUUUCAUUAUAGAACUGUUGAAUCUUUUGUACAUUCCAUUCUCUGGACUCUGCAUUUAUUAGCUCAAAUACCAUCAUAGGUUCUGUUGGGUUAAUUUGUCCUCCAAUUACCCCUUGCAUUAACCACUUAUCUUCUCGAAUGCGAAUAGAUUGACCAUCCCUAACUGACCAUUUGAUGUUUUCUUUGAUUGUAUCUCGGCCAAUUAACAAACUCCACCAUCCCCAUGAGGGGCGUUGGCCCGUGCAUGCUGUCCAGAGAUCCCCUUUUGGAAAGUAGACUCCUUUCAACACUCUACUCCAUAGGGUAGAGGGAGAAUUUGAUAGCCUCCAGACUUGCUUACCCAGCAUGGCACAAUUAAAGCUGGAGCAAUACUUCCUGCACAAUGAAGAUAUUGUCUUGUAUCUGUCUGCCUUGAACAAAUGCACAUUGCUCCGGUUCAAUAAUAGAUGGCAACCACUUUUUUAGUCUGUUUGCUAGAAGUUUUGAAAUUACUUUAUAACUGAAAUUGCAUAAACUGAUAGGUCUGUAUUGGCUAAUAUUCUCAGGGUUUUUCACUUUAGGGAUUAAGGAAAGAUGUGUCUGGUUGAGGAGGGGAUCAAGAAUACAUGUCUGGAAAAAAUUCUGAGCUAAUUGUAACAUGUCAGUUUUCACGGUAUCCCCUGAUUGUUGAUAAAAAAAUGCCAUUGAAGCCAUCUGGGCCAGGUGCUUUAAGUGCUCCAUCUGAAAAACAGCAUCCUUAAUUUCCUCCAUCAAAGGUACAGCCACCAAAUCUUCAUUAAUGUGCUGUAUUAUAGGUGAUGGACAUUGGAUGAGGAUAGGUUGGUACUGCCUUGGGCCCUCUAAUUUAUAUAGCUCUCUGUAAAAGGACAGAAUAUGGUUGCGGAUCAUUAUAGGAUCUCUACACCAGUUGA